CAGUAUACAAGUUUUAUACCCAUAAGCUACUAAUUAGUACAGCUCUUUAUUUAAAUCUACCACCUAAUGCUCAUCACUUAUCAAUCACGGGUAAAUUUUAGCAAUGAUUUUUUAACUUCCAUGGUAAUAAUAUUAUACUAAAAUAAAAUUUUUUAAAUUUUUAAAUUUUAUUAUGUAAAAUAUAAAAAUUAAUAAAAUUUUAUGUUAUAUUUUUUUAAAUUGAGACACUGUAGCAUUACAGAUAAAUAAAUUCAGGAUGGUCGAUAAAAUUUAUCCCACCAAUCACCAUCACCAUCACAUAACUGUUGGUUUCCCGUCGGGGGCGACAGCAUCAGCAUCAGCAUUGAACGAGUCUUUACUAGCAGACUCAUCCUUCACAUCGUCGGGAUCGCGGUCGGGGUCAGACUUGCCCAUGGCCGCACGAGCGUUGUCCAGAAAAGGCUUGAAAGCCGUUUCAAUCGCGAGCCAUCCAAAUGCUAGAGCCCCAAAAACGACCAUUGCUUGUUUGCUUGGCUUCGUCCCCAUCUUCUUCCUCUGCUUAGCCGCUCCGUACGCCGCCUGUUCUUCUUUUUCUAGCUUUUGAUGCAAGAACGCUUACAGAGUCAAUGGCAGGUGGGCAGCGAAUUUAUAUGGGCUAGGGAUACCGUCACCCGCCAAUGGCAAGUUAUUUCCUGGACACGAUAGUGCCGGCCUCCAAAGAGCAGAUUAUCUGACGCUGUGGACAAGAAGAUCAGAAAUAUUUUGGUUCGUUUUUAAAAUUGUUGAUGAAGGAGAGACUAGAGAGUUCCAUUGGGUGCAAGUUAUUCUGCUGUUUCAAAACCAUUCUUGGGUUUGGGUUUGG
rnacentral:misc_RNA from 1 species